CACGUAGUUAGCCGGGGCUUCUUAGUCAGGUACCGUCAUCUUCUUCCCUGCUGAUAGAGCUUUACAUACCGAAAUACUUCUUCACUCUCGCGGCGUCGCUGCAUCAGGGUUUCCCCCAUUGUGCAAUAUUCCCCACUGCUGCCUCCCGUAGGAGUUUGGGCCGUGUCUCAGUCCCAAUGUGGCCGGUCACUCUCUCAAGCCGGCUACUGAUCGCUGCCUUGGUAGGCCGUUACCUGCCAACUAGCUAAUCAGACGCGGGCCCAUCCUGUACCACCGGUAGUUUUCACACCGUGCCAUGCGGCACUGUGCGCUUAGUGCGGUAUUAGCACCUAUUCUGGGUGUUACUCCCCGGUACAGGGCAGGUUCGCCCACGUCGUUACUCACCCGUCCGCCACUCAGUCAC
rnacentral:rRNA from 1 species